UGUGUGUGUCUGUGUGUCUGUGUGUCUGUUCCAGCUGUAACUGCUCAACGGUUGCAAUGCGACGAAAACUAACAGCUUCUAUAGGCUUCUAGCCACGAUCUCUUGGAUUUUGAUUCGUGGAUUAGCAAACUAAAGCUUCUUUCUCGAGUUAUGGCUAGUUUGACUCACAUUGAAGGCUGUUGCAGUCUCUUCAGAAUCUUUCAUAGCAUCAUCUGUCCGCACAUACUUUCUAUUCAACAUAUGAGUUAGCCUUGCACUAAAGCGCUAGCUUUUUGUUAGCUACAAGACUCAGAAAAUAUCUGUUAAAACAGCUAGCUAGCAGUAGCCAUUGAUCUGUUUGGACACACCCUUUAUUAUUCCUGUGGAUGUAAUGCGCAUGCGCGCUCAUUCCCCACGUGUGAGAAACCAAGAUCCAGAUCCAGAUCCUCCUGGCAGAAUCAUCUUUGUCUUGAGGGCCUGGUCUGAUAUUAUAUACACUGAACUACAGAUCCUGGAAGAAUCAAUUUUCUUCUUUCUUGAGGUCCUGGUAAGCCACAUAAUACAAUAAAUAACAACAAUAGAUGCAUGUAAAUAAGUCUUUUCUUCUCAGUGACUUUAUAUAGGUAAGCUAACUUUAAUAUAAAAUUCAUUAUAGAAACUAAUAUAACACUCUAAUACUUUUGAGCGAAAGCAAAAACAUGGCGAGAGGCAUUAGCACAGCGCCAGCUUGAACACUAGUUUCCUGUUAGUGUUAAGCAGCGUUAAUUUUGCAUAAGUAAAUAAACUUUAGCUAGCUCUACUUACAUGCGUAAGUAGAGCUAGCUAAAGUUUAUUGUGCCAGCUAGACUACAGUAUACCUUCUGAGGAUGACAGAUCAGCCCAAGUAACAGCCAAGGUAUACUACUGUAACAUAGAGCUGAUGUCAAGUUUCCAAGACAAGCAAGGCAAAGCAAAGACAGUGCCCAGGAACUGAAGAAAGCCCCUGAGAAACUCUCUCCUGGUGGGAUUUACCGACACUGACGAUCCAUCAAGAGAUAGUUAACAUACAUAUAUUGGAUAUGAUGAUGAGUAGAGUAAUUAUGAAUGGAGAGAAUAGCUGGUAGACUUGAUGGACUGGAUGAAAGUCCGAACAGUGACACUUGACACCUGAUUAAAGACUUAGUUUAUUCUCUUUUUCAUUGUAUUUUGAGUUAGGAACCAAGAUUAAAGUAUAAUCUGGUCUGCAGAAGAAAGGUACAGAUGCUAACUUGAAUCUAUGCUACCUUGUUUGCUAAUUACACUGCAGUACUUUUAUUAUUUAUUAUGAAGAGGAAAUGACAAAUAUGACAAGUUAUGACACGAAAA